UACGGAGGGUGCAAGCAUUGAUCGGAAUUACUGGGCGUAAAGGGCGCGUAGGCGGUUCAAUAAGUCAGAUGUGAAAUUCCGGGGCUCAACCCCGGAGCUGCAUUUGAAACUAUCGAACUAGAGUUCAGUUAGGGUAAACGGAAUUCCACGUGUAGCGGUGAAAUGCGUAGAUAUGUGGAAGAACACCGGUGGCGAAGGCGGUUUUCUAGCUUAUUCCUGACACUGAGGCGCGAAAGCAAGGGGAUCAAACAGG
rnacentral:rRNA from 1 species